AUGCUUGCUUAGGCAGUAUAUACACUAAAAAUAGAGAUUAGCAUGGCCCCUAAGCAAAGAUGAUACCCAAAUUUGUAACAUGUUCCAUGGUUUU
ensembl:snRNA U6 U6 spliceosomal RNA